rnacentral:rRNA from 1 species
GGGUGGUAAUGCCGGAUGCUCCAUCACACUGCAUGGUGUGUUGGGAAAGCCUUUGCGGCAUGGGAUGGGGUCGCGUCCUAUCAGCUUGAUGGCGGGGUAACGGCCCACCAUGGCUUCGACGGGUAGCCGGCCUGAGAGGGCGACCGGCCACAUUGGGACUGAGAUACGGCCCAGACUCCUACGGGAGGCAGCAGUGGGGAAUAUUGCACAAUGGGCGCAAGCCUGAUGCAGCGACGCCGCGUGAGGGAUGGAGGCCUUCGGGUUGUAAACCUCUUUUGUUAGGGAGCAAGGCAUUUUGUGUUGAGUGUACCUUUCGAAUAAGCACCGGCUAACUACGUGCCAGCAGCCGCGGUAAUACGUAGGGUGCAAGCGUUAUCCGGAAUUAUUGGGCGUAAAGGGCUCGUAGGCGGUUCGUCGCGUCCGGUGUGAAAGUCCAUCGCUUAACGGUGGAUCCGCGCCGGGUACGGGCGGGCUUGAGUGCGGUAGGGGAGACUGGAAUUCCCGGUGUAACGGUGGAAUGUGUAGAUAUCGGAAAAAAACACCA